AAGUAGUUCUAAGUUCUAGGGGACUGAUGACCACAGAUGUUAAGUCCCAUAGUGCUCAGAGCCAUUUGAACCAUUUUUCCUAUUUGAGUUCAUGGAGUAUUUCAGUAAUACUCCUGUGUUGACUGAACCUACUGGGCAGCCACAUGGUAUGAACACCAACCACUUCUGUGUGGAGAACCACACCGAAGGUCUGGGAGCAUGGCGCAGCGCAGGUGCCAAUGAUGCACAAGCUAGUAAACUGAUGACGUCAAUCAUGAUAUAGCAAAUCUGGACUAUUAUCAUGAAUACGAAGUUCAAGGAAUUCAAAUUUUUGGUGAUGUUAAACAUAAAACCAAGAACAGCUGUUCAAGGAUUAAGCAGACGUAAAAUUACAAGAGCAUGUUGUCGCUGUGGAACGUAUUCCAGUCAGUGUUGUUUCCAUCAUAUAAAACUGCAAUGGUGUAUUAAGGGAGCCUAGUAUCACCAGAUGUGAAUGAUAGCAUCAACUUUUACUUCAUGCAAAUUUAAUUGCUGAACAUCUGAUACCAAGUGCACUGCCUGGACAUUUUCUAUUUAUGUUGCCGUUUUCUGGGAUUCAGUCAUCUUCAAGAGAUUUAUGCUUACUUUUGAUUUUACUCAUUGUUGAAAGUGAAGAAACAGACUGAGUCUAAACUGUUUUCAAAUUCUGAUGAAUUUCUAGUCAUGACAAACUUCUCAGCACCAAGACAUCUGCAGUGGCACAGCGUUCCAGCUUAAUGAU